rnacentral:rRNA from 1 species
CCCGGUCAACGGGGAGGAAGGUGGGAUGACGUCAAGUCCUCAUGGCCCUUAUGUCCAGGGCUACACACGUGCUACAAUGGGCAGUACAAAGGGCAGCGAGCCUGCGAAGGUGAGCCAAUCCCAAAAAGCCUGUUCGUAGUUCGGAUUGGAGUCUGCAACUCGACUCCAUGAAGCUGGAAUCGCUAGUAAUACGCGGAUCAGCAUGCCGCGGUGAAUACGUUCCCGGGCCUU